AUACGUAGGUGGCAAGCGUUGUCCGGAAUUAUUGGGCGUAAAGCGCGCGCAGGCGGUCCUUUAAGUCUGAUGUGAAAGCCCACGGCUCAACCGUGGAGGGUCAUUGGAAACUGGGGGACUUGAGUGCAGAAGGGGAAAGGGGAAUUCCAAGUGUAGCGGUGAAAUGCGUAGAGAUUUGGAGGAACACCAGUGGCGAAGGCGACUUUCUGGUCUGUAACUGACGCUGAGGCGCGAAAGCGUGGGGAGCAAACAGGAUUAGAUACCCUGGUAGUCCACGCCGUAAACGAUGAGUGCUAAGUGUUAGGGGGUUUCCGCCCCUUAGUGCUGCAGCUAACGCAUUAAGCACUCCGCCUGGGGAGUACGGUCGCAAGACUGAAACUCAAAUGAAUUGACGGGG
rnacentral:rRNA from 1 species